rnacentral:rRNA from 1 species
CCAAUAGCGUAUAUUAAAGUUGUUGCAGUUAAAAAGCUCGUAGUUGAAUUUCGGGGUCAGUAGGUUGGUCGUGCCAAUGGUAUGCACUGACCUCACUGAUUCCUCCUUCUUGAUGAACCUUAAUGCCACUAAUUUGGUGUUUUGGGGAAUCUGGACUGUUACUUUGAAAAAAUUAGAGUUUUUAAAGUAAGCUAACGCUUGAAUACAUUAGAAUGGAAUCAUGAAAAAGGACGUUCGGUCUUAUUUUGUUGGUUUCUAAGAUUGACGUAAUGAUUAAUAGGAAUAGUUGGGGGCAUUAGUAUUCAAUUGUCAGAGGUGAAAUUCUUGGAUUUAUUGAAGACUAACUACUGCGAAAGCAUUUGCCAAGGAUGUUUUCAUUAAUCAAGAACGAAAGUUAGGGGAUCGAAGACGAUCAGAUACCGUCGUAGUCUUAACCAUAAACUAUGCCGACUAGGGAUCGGAUGAUGUUAAUUUUUUAAUGACUCAUUCGGCGCCUUACG